rnacentral:rRNA from 1 species
UCAAGCUACAAAGGGCGCAUGGUGGAUGCCUUGGCACCAGGAGCCGAAGAAGGACGUGGUAAGCUGCGAAAAGCUGCGGGUAGCCGCAAACAGGCUGUGAUCCGCAGAUGUCCGAAUGGGGGAACCCACCUAUUGAACAAUAGGUAUCCUUAACUGAAUCCAUAGGUUAAGGAGGGCACACCCGGGGAACUGAAACAUCUAAGUACCCGGAGGAAAAGAAAGAAUAAUCGAUUCCCUAAGUAGCGGCGAGCGAAAGGGGAAGAGCCCAAACCAGAGGAAACUCUGGGGUUGAGGACAGGUCAUAAAGGUUUAAAAUCUCUAGCCGAAGAGGCCUGGAAAGGCCGGCCACAGAAGGUAAAAGCCCUGUAGGCGAAAGAGAAUUUAAGCUGGACCUGAUCCAGAGUACCACGGGACACGUGAAACCCUGUGGGAAGCAGGGAGGACCACCUCCCAAGGCUAAAUACUACCUGGUGACCGAUAGCGUAUAGUACCGUGAGGGAAAGGUGAAAAGAACCCCGGGAGGGGAGUGAAAGAGAACCUGAAACCGUGUGCCUACAAGCAGUCGGAGGGCGUUAAGGCCUGACGGCGUGCUUUUUGUAGAACGAGCCAGCGAGUUACGGUAUGUAGCGAGGUUAAGCACUUAAGGUGUGAAGCCGUAGGGAAACCGAGUCUGAAUAGGGCGAUAAGUUGCAUGCCGUAGACCCGAAACCGGGUGACCUAUCCAUGGACAGGGUGAAGGUGAGGUAAAACUCACUGGAGGCCCGAACCACGUUGGUGUUGAAAAACCAUGGGAUGAGCUGUGGAUAGCGGAGAAAUUCCAAUCGAACUCGGAGAUAGCUGGUUCUCCCCGAAAUAGCUUUAGGGCUAGCCUCGGGUUAGAGACGUGGAGGUAGAGCACUGAAUGGGCUAGGGGCCGUCUAGGUUACCGAACCUUAUCAAACUCCGAAUGCCAUGAUCUUGAUGCCCGGGAGUCAGACUACGAGUGAUAAGAUCCGUGGUCAAAAGGGAAACAGCCCAGACCAUCAGCUAAGGUCCCAAAGUGUAUGUUAAGUGGAAAAGGAUGUGGGAUUUCCAAGACAACCAGGAUGUUGGCUUAGAAGCAGCCAUUCAUUUAAAGAGUGCGUAAUAGCUCACUGGUCGAGAGGUCCUGCGCCGAAGAUGUCCGGGGCUCAAACAUACCACCGAAGCUAUGGAUUUGGUACCGUUGACUAAUGCUUAUAUGGAAGAUGAGAAGAAAGAAAGAGAGGACAUCUCAUGCUGCUACGCAGCGAAGCGAAGGAGCAGCAUCAGAUGAUAUUAAAGCGAAAGCAUACCAUGUAGGCGAUAGCUAACGGUACCAGAGUGGUAGGGGAGCUUUCUUAGCGGGUAGAAGUCAGACCGGAAGGACUGGUGGACUGCUAAGAAGUGAGAAUGCUGGCAUAAGUAGCGAGAAAUAGGUGAGAAUCCUAUUCGCCGAAAACCUAAGGUUUCCUCAGGAAGGCUCGUCCGCUGAGGGUUAGUCGGGACCUAAGCCGAGGCCGAAAGGCGUAGGUGAUGGACAAUCGGUUGAUAUUCCGAUACCACCAGUAGCCGUUUGAGAGAUGGGGUGACGCAGGAGGAUAGGCUGAGCACACUGAUGGAUAUGUGUGUCCAAAGCACGAGGUAUGCCUCUUAGGCAAAUCCGGGAGGAUAAGCUGAGUGCUGACGGGGAGUCGUAAGACGAAGCAGCUGAUUUCACACUGCCGAGAAAAGCCUCUAUCGAGGAUGCUGGUGCCCGUACCGCAAACCGACACAGGUAGGUGAGGAGAGAAUCCUAAGGCGAGCGGGAGAACCCUUGUUAAGGAACUCGGCAAAUUGACCCCGUAACUUCGGGAGAAGGGGUGCCUACCGAAAGGUAGGCCGCAGAGAAUAGGCCCAGGCGACUGUUUAGCAAAAACACAGGUCUCUGCUAAGUCGAAAGACGAUGUAUAGGGGCUGACGCCUGCCCGGUGCUGGAAGGUUAAGGGGAAAGGUUAGCGCAAGCGAAGCUUUGAACCGAAGCCCCAGUAAACGGCGGCCGUAACUAUAACGGUCCUAAGGUAGCGAAAUUCCUUGUCGGGUAAGUUCCGACCCGCACGAAUGGCGUAACGACCUGGGCGCUGUCUCAACAAGGGACCCGGCGAAAUUGUAGUACAAGUGAAGAUGCUUGUUACCCGCGAUUGGACGGAAAGACCCCGUAGAGCUUUACUGCAGCUUAGCAUUGAGUUUCGGUAUUGUCUGUACAGGAUAGGUGGGAGGCAGAGAAGUAGCGUCGCCAGGCGCUAUGGAGCCGACGUUGGGAUACCACCCUGAUGAUACUGAAGCUCUAACCGGAGGCCAUGAAUCUGGUCACGGGACAUUGUUAGGCGGGCAGUUUGACUGGGGCGGUCGCCUCCUAAAGAGUAACGGAGGCGCCCAAAGGUUCCCUCAGUGCGGUUGGAAAUCGCGCGUAGAGUGCAAAGGCAGAAGGGAGCCUAACUGUGAGACUGACAAGUCGAGCAGUGACGAAAGUCGGGCUUAGUGAUCCGGUGGUACCGAGUGGAAGGGCCAUCGCUCAACGGAUAAAAGCUACCUCGGGGAUAACAGGCUGAUCUCCCCCAAGAGUCCACAUCGACGGGGAGGUUUGGCACCUCGAUGUCGGCUCGUCGCAUCCUGGGGCUGAAGUAGGUCCCAAGGGUUGGGCUGUUCGCCCAUUAAAGCGGCACGCGAGCUGGGUUCAGAACGUCGUGAGACAGUUCGGUCCCUAUCCGUCGCGGGCGUAGGAAAUUUGAGAGGAGCUGUCCUUAGUACGAGAGGACCGGGAUGGACGAACCUCUGGUGCACCAGUUGUCACGCCAGUGGCACAGCUGGGUAGCCAUGUUCGGAAGGGAUAAGCGCUGAAGGCAUCUAAGCGCGAAGCCCACCUCAAGAUGAGAUUUCCCAUAGCGUAAGCUAGUAAGACCCCUGGAAGAACACCAGGUUGAUAGGCCAGAGGUGUAAGCGUCGUGAGGCGUUUAGCUGACUGGUACUAAUAGGUCGAGGGCUUGAUCA